GAUGAACGCUGGCGGCGUGCCUAAUACAUGCAAGUCGAACGGACAGACGAGGAGCUUGCUUCUUUGACGUUAGCGGCGCGCGGGUGUGUAACAUGUGUAUAACCUACCUAUCAGACUGGGAACACCUCGGGAAACCGGAGCUUAUACCGGAUGAUCUUCUGAAGCGCAGGGUGCAAAAGAGAAAGACGGCCUUUCUGGCACUUAUCGAUGCUUCCGGGCUGCAUUAGGUAGUUGGUGAGGUAACGGCUUACCAAGGCAACGAUGCAUAGCCGAGCUGCGAGGGGGAUCAGCGACACUGGAGGUGAGCGGCGGUCCAGAGUCCGACGGGAGGCAGAAGUAGGGAAGGUUGCGCAGUGGGCGAAAGCCUGACGGAGGGACGCCGCGUGGAUGAAGAAGGUCGGCGGGUGGUAAAACUCUGUUAGUGGGGAAGAACGUAUGUGUAAGUAACGGUGCGCAUGUUGAGGGUACCUGAAAAGAAAGCCACGGCUAACUGCGU
rnacentral:rRNA from 1 species